rnacentral:rRNA from 1 species
CUUUCUUUGCUGGCGACCGGCGCACGGGUGAGUAACACGUAUCCAACCUGCCCUUUACUCGGGGAUAGCCUUUCGAAAGAAAGAUUAAUACCCGAUAGCAUAAUGAUUCCGCAUGGUUUCAUUAUUAAAGGAUUCCAGUAAAGGAUGGGGAUGCGUUCCAUUAGGUUGUUGGUGGGGUAACGGCCCACCAAGCCUUCGAUGGAUAGGGGUUCUGAGAGGAAGGUCCCCCACAUUGGAACUGAGACACGGUCCAA